rnacentral:rRNA from 1 species
AGAGACAGCAGUCGCCGCGGUAAUACGGAGGGUGCAAGCGUUAUCCGGAUUUAUUGGGUUUAAAGGGUCCGUAGGCGGACUUAUAAGUCAGUGGUGAAAGCCUGUCGCUUAACGAUAGAACUGCCAUUGAUACUGUAAGUCUUGAGUAUAUUUGAGGUAGCUGGAAUAAGUAGUGUAGCGGUGAAAUGCAUAGAUAUUACUUAGAACACCAAUUGCGAAGGCAGGUUACCAAGAUAUAACUGACGCUGAGGGACGAAAGCGUGGGUAGCGAACAGGAUUAGAUACCCCUGUAGUCCCUGUCUCUUAUAA